rnacentral:lncRNA from 1 species
GACGAUGACAUAACUAAAUUUACCAUAAAUAUCAGGGCAGCAAUUCCCGAAACUCGGAAAGAUGGUUACUUUAUUUUCCAAGAACUAGCUAAGACAUACAGGAUCAAUAGAGAGAGAUUUACCAUGGGUUCAGACGGUCAGGCAAAGCUUCCUGUUGUAGAUUUAACCAAUGCUGAAAAUUUGAAGCCUGGAACUGAGGCAUGAAGGUCGACAUGCAAACAAGUCCAACAAGCAUUUGAAGAUUGUGGCUGCUUUGAAGCCACUUACCAUGGAGUUUCUUUGGACCUUCACAACGCCAAGUUUUCUGCCAGUAAAGGUCUAUUUGAUCUUCCAGUUGAAACCAAAUGCCAGAAGACCAGUGACAAGCCUAACCACAGCUAUAUCGGCCAAAUUUCUUCCCUUCCACUUUACGAAUCCUUGGGAGUCAAUUACGCGACAACUCCUGAAGGAGUUGAAAAUUUCAUAAAUAUGAUGUGGCCUGCAGGAAAUGACGAAUUUCGAUAUGUUUUUAUUGGUUUAAUGGCUCACUAAUCUAAAUUUCUAUAAAUUUUUCAGGAUAGAAUUAAUAUACUCACCAUUUUUGGUACAUAUAUAUUAUGCCUAACUAAUAUCUUCUGUCUUCGUGAGAGUUCUUCUCUUCUUUGUGUGAGAGUUUCCAAAUCCCGUCCCUCUUGUAGCUGCCGACUAACCCUAACUAUGGCCAGGGUCGGUGGCAGUCCCCUUCUCCUUCUCCUUUUCUGUUCCGUUUCUUUUUCUUUCCUUGCUUUUUAGGUAGUUUUUUCUUUGUUUUUUGGCCUGCUAGCCCCUUUCCUUCACCCCAUCUCUGUUGUUCUUCCCCUUGCCCCUCUCUUUCACCUAUUUCCUUUGAUUUUGUCAUCAGACCGCGUUUCCAUCCUUGUCGUCCUUUCCCCUUCUUGUUUCUCCUUUUCCCCUGUCAUCCCUUUCCUAUUUCCUAUCUAUUUUCUCUCUUUCCCACUAUGUCAUCCAUCCCCUUUCCCGUUUCUCCUUGAAACCACUUACUAGAUUUGCAACAACUGAUCUUUCUCGCGAAUUUUCGCGAUUCUCUUGGAAGGUGAGUAGAGCUCUGGCUUGGGUGUUCCCUUCACCUCCUUGCACUUGUGUGUGUGCCCUCGUUGGCAUUGUUGCUUAUUCCCACAACUUUUUUCCUUCGAUUGGUGCCUGCAACUCCUGGGGUGCUCUUUGGAGGAUCGUGUCUUCUGUUCCUUCACUCUUGGGACGGCUUUUCUUGGCUGGAUUUCAAGCGGUUGUUGCGGUCUUAGUUUAGGUGUUCUGGUUGCAGGUGUCUUUGAUAUGUUUUUCUGUUCUCUUUGCAUUGGGCUCACUCAAAACUUACUUUGCUCAUGGGUUACUUUGGAGGUCUAUUUUUGUUUUUGUGUGUUUGUAUUCGGGUCUCUUUUACUGUAAUAUGUUGCGUCGGUAACAAAGUACCCUUUUACCAUAAAAACUAAUAUUGUGUUUAUUUCUUUGACUAGUGAGAAAGUUUAUACCUUCUCAAAUCUGCUAGCCGAGUUGACUAAACUGGUGACAAAAAUGGUGUUUCACCAUUAUAGGGUACAAAGGCUUUACAAAUCUCACAUGGCGUCG